rnacentral:tRNA from 1 species
CCCGCAGUAGCUCAAUCGGUAGAGCACUCGGCUGUAGACCGGGGUGUUGCUGGUUCAAGUCCGGCCUGCGGGA